rnacentral:rRNA from 1 species
GAUGAACGCUGGCGGCGUGCCUAAUAGAUGCAAGUCGAGCGAAUGGAUUAAGAGCUUGCUCUUAUGAAGUUAGCGGCGGACGGGUGAGUAACACGUGGGUAACCUGCCCAUAAGACUGGGAUAACUCCGGGAAAUCGGGGCUAAUACCGGAUAACAUUUUGAACCGCAUGGUUCGAAAUUGAAAGGCGGCUUCGGCUGUCACUUAUGGAUGGACCCGCGUCGCAUUAGCUAGUUGGUGAGGCAACGGCUCACCAAGGCAACGAUGCGUAGCCGACCUGAGAGGGGGAUCGGCCACACUGGGACUGAGACACGGCCCAGACUCCUACGGGAGGCAGCAGUAGGGAAUCUUCCGCAAUGGACGAAAGUCUGACGGAGCAACGCCGCGUGAGUGAUGAAGGCUUUCGGGUCGUAAAACUCUGUUGUUAGGGAAGAACAAGUGCUAGUUGAAUAAGCUGGCACCUUGACGGUACCUAACCAGAAAGCCACGGCUAACUACGUGCCAGCCGCCGCCUAA